CUACGGGAGGCAGCAGCUAAGAAUAUUCCGCAAUGGGAGAUAUCCUGACGGAGCGACGCCGCGUGUAUGAAGAAGGCAGAAAUGUUGUAAAGUACUUUUAUGCGGGAAGAAGAAGACUAGUAAUGGAAAGAUUAGUCGGUGACGGUACCGCAUGAAUAAGCCACGGCUAACUACGUGCCAGCAGCCGCGGUAAUACGUAGGUGGCAAGCGUUGUUCGGAUUUAUUGGGCGUAAAGGGCAUGUAGGCGGUUAGAAAAGUGUGAAUUGAAAGGCGCAGGCUCAACCUGCUGUUUGGUUUGCAAACUCUCUAACUAGAGUGCAGAAGGGGAAACUGGAAUUCCGCGUGUAGGGGUGAAAUCUGUAGAUAUGCGGAAGAAUACUUGUGGCGAAGGCGAGUUUCUGGUCUGUAACUGACGCUGAAAUGCGAAAGUGUGGGGAGCAAACAGGAUUAGAUACCCGCGUAGUCCC
rnacentral:rRNA from 1 species